rnacentral:rRNA from 1 species
CAAUAGCGUAUACUAAAGUUGUUGCGAUUAAAAAGCUCGUAGUUGGAUCUCAGGCAUGGGCGCACGGUCCGCCUCGCGGCGGUCACUGUGUGUUUUGUUUCCCAUCCUACGCUUCCCGGUUAUCAGCCCAUGGUGCUCUUCACUGAGCGUUUUGGGUGGCCGGAACGUUUACUUUGAAGAAAUUAGAGUGUUCAAAGCAGGCACGUCGCCUGAAUAAGGGUGCAUGGAAUAAUGGAAUAGGACCUCGGUUCUAUUUUGCUGGUUUUCGGAACACGAGGUAAUGAUUAAGAGGGACAGACGGGGGCAUCCGUAUUGCGGUGUUAGAGGUGAAAUUCUUGGAUCAUCGCAAGACGAACAACUGCGAAAGCAUUUGCCAAGCAUGUUUUCAUUAG